UCUUCCACAAUGGACGCAAGUCUGAUGGAGCAACGCCGCGUGAGUGAAGAAGGGUUUCGGCUCGUAAAACGCUGUUGUUGGAGAAGAACCGGGGAUAGAGUAACUGUUAGCCCCUUGACGGUAUCCAACCAGAAAGCCACGGCUAACUACGUGCCAGCAGCCGCGGUAAUACGUAGGUGGCAAGCGUUGUCCGGAUUUAUUGGGCGUAAAGCGAGCGCAGGCGGUUUUUUAAGUCUGAUGUGAAAGCCUUCGGCUUAACCGAAGAAGGGCAUCAGAAACUGAGAAACUUGAGGACAGAAAAGGAAAGUGGAACUCCAUGUGUAGCGGUGAAAUGCGUAGAUAUAUGGAAGAACACCAGUGGCGAAGGCGGCUUUCUGGUCUGUUACUGACGCUGAGGCUCGAAAGUAUGGGGAGCGAACAGG
rnacentral:rRNA from 1 species